AUGGUACAGAUCAAAUGAGGUUAAAACAGCUUUUGGGUUCAUGGGGCGAAAGUGGAGGGAAAGACUGUAAAGUGUCAAUCAGGUCCUUUGUCACCUUUGACCUCUGUGCCGUCUUCCUGACGUCAACAUUUGAGACUGAAAAUGGAGUUCAUAAACAAGAGCCCGGCUUAAAUUAGUAUCUUUAUUAGUUCCCGUCAGGAGUCGCUAUUCAUCACUGUGGCUGUAAAGGGAGCAGCACUUAAAACACCACACAUCAAACACACCAAGCAGAAGGCGGCGUACGGGGGCCGCGCAACACGCGGGUGCGAGUAAUGAGUUCGUUGGAGUGCAGGUUCUCCUGCGGCGGGUGAGGACGUGGAUGGCGGUGAUGAGGUUGACUGGUUGCUUUCAUGUCUUUCAAGGGCGGAACUGUCAUAUGUUACAAACUGACACAAAAUAAACACUAAAACAUCAGUCUCUACAGUGUGUGUGUGUGUGUGUGUGUGCUCACGUGUGUGUGUGUGUGUGUGUGUGUGUGUGUGUGUGUGUG